rnacentral:rRNA from 1 species
GAUGAACGCUGGCGGCGUGCCUAACACAUGCAAGUCGAACGGAGAUUACGGACGGAAGUUUUCGGAUGGAAGCCUGUAAUUCUUAGUGGCGGACGGGUGAGUAACGCGUGGGCAACCUGCCCUAUACAGGGGGAUAGCAGCUGGAAACGGCUGGUAAGACCGCAUAAGUCGGUUAAAUCGCAUGAUUUGAUCGGGAAAUGAGCAAUCAGGUAUAGGAUGGGCCCGCGUCCGAUUAGCCAGUUGGCAGGGUAAAAGCCUACCAAAGCGACGAUCGGUAGCCGGACUGAGAGGUCGGACGGCCACAUUGGGACUGAGACACGGCCCAAACUCCUACGGGAGGCAGCAGUGGGGGAUAUUGCACAAUGGAGGAAGCUCUGAUGCAGCGACGCCGCGUGAGUGAAGAAGUAUUUCGGUAUGUAAAGCUCUAUCAGCAGGGAAGAUGAUGACGGUACCUGACUAAGAAGCCCCGGCUAACUACGUG